rnacentral:pre_miRNA from 1 species
CAACUACUCCCUCUGUCCCAAAUUUCUUGUCUUAGAUUUGUUUAGAUACGGAUGUAUCUAAUACUAAAAUGUGACUUGAUACAUCUGUAUCUAGACAAAUCUAAGACAAGAAUUUUGGGACGGAGGGAGUAGUUU